GACGAACGCUGGCGGCGUGCUUAACACAUGCAAGUCGAACGGAAAGGCCCUGCUUUUGUGGGGUGCUCGAGGGGCGAACGGGUGAGUAACACGUGAGUAACCUGCCCUUGACUUUGGUAUAACUUCAGGAAACUGGGGCUAAUACCGGAUAGGAUCCCCUGCUGCAGGGUAGGGGUUGGAAAUUUUCGGCGGUUGGGGAUGGACUCGCGGCUUAUCAGCUUGUUGGUGGGGUAGUGGCUUACCAAGGCUUUGACGGGUAGCCGGCCUGGGAGGGUGACCGGCCACAUUGGGACUGAGAUACGGCCCAGACUGCUACGGGAGGCAGCAGUGGGGAAUAUUGCACAAUGGGAGGAAGCCUGAUGCAGCAACGCCGCGUGCGGGAUGACGGCCUUCGGGUUGUAAACCGCUUUCGCCUGUGACGAAGCGUGAGUGACGGUAAUGGGUAAAGAAGCACCGGCUAACUACGUG
rnacentral:rRNA from 1 species